rnacentral:lncRNA from 1 species
GCAUAUUCAUGCAUCAUAUAUGCCAUGUGAUAUUUUAGGUUGUUUGCAUUAGUAUUCACGAAUAUGUUGCAUUGCAUAAUAUGAUGUGGAUGCGGAUUGGCUAUUGGAUGAUCCUCUAGUCCUCCUAUGGUAUGAUAUGAUGAUGAUACGGUAUGGAUUGCCAGUGAGGCCCAUUCUACGCCCCUGGACUAUGUUAAGAGAAAGACCAGUGAGGCCCAUUCUACGCCCCUGGCAUAUUGGAAUGUUAUGUUAUGUUAUGUAUGUAAGAGAAAGACCAGUGAGGCCCAUUCUACGCCCCUGGCACGAUUGGACUAUGUUGAGGACUAUAGGUGACAAUACCAUCCUUAUGUGAUAUGUUUGUGAUGUGUUGCAUUUCAUGGAAGCAUGAAAUAUUUAAUAUAUGUUUUCUCUAUUCUGCUCACUGGGCUUUAUAGCUCACCCCUCUCCCC